UACAGAGGGUGCUAGCGUUAAUCGGAUUUACUGGGCGUAAAGCGUGUGUAGGCGGUUUGUUAAGUCGGGUGUGAAAUCCCUGGGCUCAACCUGGGAAUUGCAUUCGAUACUGGCAAGCUAGAGUACGGUAGAGGGCGGCGGAAUUCCGGGUGUAGCGGUGAAAUGCGCAGAUAUCAGGAAGAACACCCGUGGCGAAGGCGGUUCUCUGGGACGGUACUGACGCUGAGACGCGAAAGCGUGGGGAGCGAACAGG
rnacentral:rRNA from 1 species